CAAGGAAUUUUCCGCAAUGGGCGCAAGCCUGACGGAGCAACGCCGCGUGCAGGACGACGGCUUUCGGGUUGUAAACUGCUUUUGCGUGGGACGAUAACGACGGUACCACGCGAAUCAGCCCCGGCUAACUCUGUGCCAGCAGCCGCGGUAAUACAGAGGGGGCAAGCGUUGUCCGGACUUACUGGGCGUAAAGCGCACGCAGGUGGUAGCGCAAGUGGGGUGUGAAAGCCGCCAGCUUAACUGGCGGAGGCCAUCCCAAACUGCGUCACUUGAGGGCUGUAGAGGUAUGUGGAAUUGCCGGUGUAGUGGUGAAAUGCGUAGAGAUCGGCAGGAACACUCAGGGGGAAACCAGCAUACUGGACAGGUCCUGACACUCAGGUGCGAUAGCGUGGGGAGCGAACCGGAUUAGAUACCCGGGUAGUCC
rnacentral:rRNA from 1 species